GAUGAACGCUGGCGGCGUGCCUAAUACAUGCAAGUCGAGCGAACAGACGAGGAGCUUGCUCCUCUGACGUUAGCGGCGGACGGGUGAGUAACACGUGGAUAACCUACCUAUAAGACUGGGAUAACUUCGGGAAACCGGAGCUAAUACCGGAUAAUAUAUUGAACCGCAUGGUUCAAUAGUGAAAGACGGUUUUGCUGUCACUUAUAGAUGGAUCCGCGCCGCAUUAGCUAGUUGGUAAGGUAACGGCUUACCAAGGCAACGAUGCGUAGCCGACCUGAGAGGGUGAUCGGCCACACUGGAACUGAGACACGGUCCAGACUCCUACGGGACGCAGCAGUAGGGAAUCUUCCGCAAUGGGCGAAAGCUUGACGGAGCAACGCCGCGUGAGUGAUGAAGGUCUUCGGAUCGUAAAACUCUGUUAUUAGGGAAGAACAACUGUGUACGUAACUAUGCACGUCUUGACGGUACCUAAUCAGAAAGCCACGGCUAACUACGUG
rnacentral:rRNA from 1 species